rnacentral:snRNA from 1 species
AUGCUUACUUUGGCAGCACAUGUACUAGAAUUGGAACGAUACAGAGAAGAUUGGCCUGGCCACUGCGCAAGGAUGACAUGCAAAUUCAUGAAGCGUUCCAUAUUUUA